rnacentral:lncRNA from 1 species
AUGACUGAAAACAAUAGUGAGAUCUUUAACCAGGUCUUCCCAUUAACACCUGGCCUGUUCAGAGGCUCAGUCAAUGAGCUCAUCAAUAGCUUCAAUGCUAAAAUGUUAAAUGUUAUGGACACUAUUGCUCCCAUUAAGGUGAAGGUUAUCUCUGGAAGGAAGAAGUCUCCAUGGAGAAACUCCACACUGGUGAAAAAUGAAAAAAGAGAGUGUCAGAAAGCUGAGCGCAGAUGGAGAAAAACAAACCUCCAGGUUCAUUAUGACAUGUAUAAAGAGAAACUUCACAAUUAUAAUUUACAACUGAGGAAUGCAAGGAGGUCCUAUUUCUCUGACAUCAUCACCAAAAACAGUCAUAAUGCUUGGGUCUUAUUUGCUACAGUUGACAGGCUAACAAACCCUCCUGUGUCAGUGGCAGCUGAACUUCAUUCGACCAUGGCCUGCAAUGACUUUGCCAAAUUCUUCACAGACAAAAUCCAAAAGACUAGACAAGCAAUUGGUACAUCAACAGCAGAUUCAGGAUAUGUACUGUGUCCACGGAAAAACAGUUUAAACACCAUGAAACAGUUUCACCCUAUUAACAGCAAGGACCUGAAGGACAUCUUAGGUCAACUGAACUCCUCCUCUUGCUGUUUAGAUGUCCUGCCAACAAGUUUUUUCAAAAAGGUCUCAAAGACUUUGGAGUCAGACCUGUUACAGAUUGCCAACCUUUCUUUAAUGUCAGGUGUGUUUCCAGAACCACUAAAAACUGCUGUAAUUAAACAAAUACUGAAAAAGGACAAUCUUGACGAGACACAAAUGAACAACUACAGGGCAAUCUCAAAUCUCCCAUUUUUAAGUAAGAUCAUUGAAAAAGCAGUUUCUCAACAGCUCAAUUACUUCUUAACACAGAAUAACUGUUGUUAUGCCUUCCAGUCAGGUUUUAGACCGAACCACAGCACUGAAGCUGCUCUGACCAAAGUGUUUAAUGACAUAUGUCUGAAUACAGACAGUGGAAAAAUGUCAGUCUUAGUUGGGCAGGUCUUUCAGGAACUGUACUAA